UACAGAGGGGGCAAGCGUUGUUCGGAAUUACUGGGCGUAAAGGGCGCGUAGGCGGCCUGUUAAGUCGAACGUGAAAUCCCCGGGCUCAACCCGGGAACUGCGUCCGAUACUGGCAGGCUUGAAUCCGGGAGAGGGAUGCGGAAUUCCAGGUGUAGCGGUGAAAUGCGUAGAUAUCAGGAGGAACACCGAUGGCGAAGGCAGCUCGCUGGGACGGUACUGACGCUGAGACGCGAAAGCGUGGGGAGCAAACAGG
rnacentral:rRNA from 1 species